CCCUUAGAUGUUCGGGGCCGCACGCGCGCUACACUGACGAAGGCAACGAGCUUUCCUUUACCGAAAGGUACGGGUAAUCUUUUGAAACUUCGUCGUGCUGGGGAUAGAUCCUUGCAAUUUUUGAUCUUAAACGAGGAAUGCCUAGUAAGCGCAAGUCAUCAACUUGCGUUGAUUACGUCCCUGCCCUUUGUACACACCGCCCGUCGCUACUACCGAUUGAAUGGUUUAGUGAGGCCUUCGGAUCCGCGACUCGUUUUGUGGAGAAGUUGGACAAACUCAGUCAUUUAGAGGAAGUAAAAGUCGUAACA
rnacentral:rRNA from 1 species